rnacentral:rRNA from 1 species
AGAAUCAACGCUGGCGGCGUGCCUAACACAUGCAAGUCGCACGAGAAAGGGACUUCGGUCCUGAGUAAAGUGGCGCACGGGUGAGUAACACGUGACUAAUCUACCCUCGAGUGGGGAAUAACCUAGGGAAACCUGGGCUAAUACCGCAUAACACUUACGAGUCAAAGCAGCAAUGCGCUUGGGGAGGAGGUCGCGGCAGAUUAGCUAGUUGGUAGGGUAAUGGCCUACCAAGGCGAUGAUCUGUAUCCGGCCUGAGAGGGCGCACGGACACACUGGAACUGAAACACGGUCCAGACUCCUACGGGAGGCAGCAGUGGGAAUUUUGCGCAAUGGGGGAAACCCUGACGCAGCAACGCCGCGUGGAGGAUGAAGUCUCUUGGGACGUAAACUCCUUUCGACAGGGACGAUAAUGACGGUACCUGUAGAAGAAGCCCCGGCUAACUUCGCGCCAGCAGCCGC